rnacentral:rRNA from 1 species
AGACGAACCGUCCAAACGUUAUUCGGAAUCACUGGGCUUAAAGGGUGCGUAGGCGGCCUGGCAAGUUGGAUGUGAAAUCCCACGGCUCAACCGUGGAAUUGCGUUCAAAACUGCCAGACUAGAGGGAGACAGAGGUGAGCGGAACUGAUGGUGGAGCGGUGAAAUGCGUUGAUAUCAUCAGGAACACCGGUGGCGAAGGCGGCUCACUGGGUCUCUUCUGACGCUGAGACACGAAAGCUAGGGUAGCGAACGGGAUUAGAAACCCCAGUAGUCC